AUUGAACGCUAGCGGCAGGCCUAACACAUGCAAGUCGAACGAGUCGCGGACGGGUGAGUAAUGUCUGUAACAAUGCCGGCCUGAGCGGGAUCACUACUUGAACCGGUAGCUAAUACCGCAUACCAGCAGAUGUGCCCCGAUGGGUUUAGCUAGUUGGUGGGGUAACGGUUGACCACGGCGACGAUCCCUAGCUGGUCUGAGAGGAGGACCAGGCACCCGGUAACUGAGACACGGUACAGACUCCGACGGGAGGCAGCAGUGGAGAAUAUUGCACAAUGGGAGCAAGCCUGAUGCAGCCAUGCCGCGUGUAUGAAGAAGGCCAUCGGGUUGGAAAGUACUUUCAGCGGGGAGGAGUUACCCGCAGAAGAAGCACCGGCUAACUCCGUGCCAGCAGCCGCGGUAAUAC
rnacentral:rRNA from 1 species